CACACGACUCUCGGCAACGGAUAUCUCGGCUCUCGCAUCGAUGAAGAACGUAGCAAAAUGCGAUACCUGGUGUGAAUUGCAGAAUCCCGCGAACCAUCGAGUUUUUGAACGCAAGUUGCGCCCGAAGCCUCUUGGCCGAGGGCACGUCUGCCUGGGCGUCACGC
rnacentral:rRNA from 1 species